AGCCUGAAACGAGAAAGCCGGUAGUUAGGGAGGCGCGGGCUGGGAAGUUCAGUUCGCGUGGGUUUGGAAUUGACAAACUGGAUUUGAAGCCUACUUGUGCUAUUUACUGCCAGGGCCAUCUUGGCAAGUCACUGAGCUUUGGCUUUGUCUGUCCCUGUUGUUGAGACGAGGGUCUUAACGGGAACUGACUUUGUAGGUCAUCCAAGAAAAGAAGCACUACAAGUCACAACAACCCAGUAGCUGCUUGCCUGAUGUCAGAGCUGCUCCUCAGAACACAGUCAGAGAAGUGACUACUGGUGUUGGCGACCCCGACAGGCUGAGGUGGCCCAGAACAGGAAGUCGACACAGUAGGGAAGAGAAGAAGCAGACUCCAGGAGCGCCCCUGCUUCUGGAAUUGAAAUGAGUUGAAGUUGUGCAUAUCACAGUUUGAAAGCUCUCCAGCCAGGCUAGGUGACACAGGCCUGCAAAGUCAGCACUCAGGAAGCUGAGGCCUUGGAGCUCCAGUUCAGUGCCAGACUGGGUUAUCUGAGGAGACACUAUCUCAGCAGGCAGUGGUGGAGCAUGCCUUUAAUCCCAGCACUCAGAAGAUCAAUACCACACCGCAGGAGUGCUGUGAAAACAUACAAGUCCUGAGGUGCAGUGUAAACUGGAGAAGACUGGCCGCUCCCCACUAGGGUUCCACUCUGGUAGCCCUCUCUGGCUGGCCUCUGCCUCCACUCCCACCUCCCCAGUGCUGGGCUUACAGUGUAAUACUUGAGAUGUCUGCCUACUGAGUGAACCCCAGGCUAUCUUGUGAAUCCGGGCUGGCAAUUUCAGACUGAAGCCUUCACAGAGGAGCCAAAGAGGCCCAUAUUCUGAGCAUUAAAUUUCAGGGCAUGCUA